rnacentral:misc_RNA from 1 species
GUGAAAAUUAUGAAUAUAAUAUUAGGUAUCAUAACUACAAUUCUUCUGCAUCAUCCGACAAAGUUUUAAGUGCUACAUACCUAAAUGACAUUAUCACAAACAAUGAUUACAGCUAACAAAUAGACCAGCUUGAAUAUGCUGCUAAUUCAUCUUGCUGACCAGCUCAUUGAUGUGAUCCUCACAAUUGCCUGAAUCGCCCCCAUCUGAAAAUCGUUUUUUCUUACCCUGCAAUGCCUUUUCUGGCUUGUUGAGAGCAAAGGGACACAGGAAACUAGUGACCUCUUUGAAAUGUGGACCAACGUUGGCAAUCUCAGUCACUACGUCUUCUAAACAUAAAAUACCAUUUUGACCCAAUGCCUGUUCGACAACUUCGUUGCUGGUUAAAGGAACUCUCUGAUUGUCAAUCUUUCCAGCACCUUUCUUGUAAAUCAGAUCCUUGAUGCUCUUGAGAUUUGGAUAUCCAUAUGUGACAAAAGGCUCCACCUUUUGCAGGAUUUCCAAAAUUCUUGCAUCUGCCUUCACAAAGACGCCAUUGAAGAUUUUCCGCAGCCUCAAAGAGUACAAGAGCUUUCGCGUUCUUGGGUGCAUAUCAGAUUUUCCUCCAAUGCGUAUGACAAAAAGGAGACUGGACUCAGACGUGACAAAAGCUCGCCUGGAUCUGUUCUUUCCCCUUUGUUUCAUUUGGAUAAGGUCCAUCUCCUUAUCCCUGUACUCUCGAAUAAACUGCUCAGGCUUCUUGAUAACAAAAUUAUCAGAUUUAAGUCUCUUGACUUUCUGCUCUAACUGGAGUUUUCUUCUGAUUGCCCAUUCUUCAUUGUUCUUCCUCUUCUUUAGAAUCACUUCUGGUAUAUAAUUUAGAGACUGUGGCACCUCCUCUGCCAUUGAAUUAGAUAACGCCUCUGGAGGGUUACGCCGACGAGUUGUUCGCCGGAGAGGAGCAAGUCCACAGACGAGGUUCGGGUGAGAGAGGUUUAGGGUUUUGGAUUUUGG